AACAGAACAACUCACUGUAAUGAGCAUUUGUAAGUAGAGCUGUGUGGACAAAGGGGUGACUGUGUGACAAACCAUGAUACACUGCAGCUUCCAAGGGGUUGUGCCACUGUUUAUGUUCUGGGACUGUUAUGGUUUAUCUGAGCUCCAAAUAAUCAGGAUACAAUUUACAGACCACAUGAAGCUCAAUAAGAAGGAAGACCAAAGUGUGGGUGCUUCGGUCCUUAGAACAACAAAAUACUCACAGGAGCAAAUAUGGAGAUAAAGCGUUGAGCAGAGACUGAAGGAAAGGCCACCCAGAGACUCUUACCUGGGGAUUUAUCCUGUACACAGUUUCCAAACCCAGACAUUGUGGAUGCCAAAAGUACAUGCUGAAAGGAGCUUGAUAUGGCUGUCUCCUGAGAGGCCCUGCCAGAGCCUUACAGAGGUGGAUGUUCGCAGCCAACCACUGGACUGAGUGCAGGGUCCCCAGUAGAGGAGUUAAAGAAGGUCUGAAGGGGUUGAAGGGGUUUACAACCCCAUAGGAAGAACAACAAUAUCAAGCAACCAACCAACGCCCCCU
rnacentral:lncRNA from 1 species